GAUGAACGCUGACAGAAUGCUUAACACAUGCAAGUCUUUGGCGAAGCUGUGCUUGCACAGCCUAGCCAAGGCGGACGGGUGAGUAACGCGUAAGGAACUUGCCCUGCAGUCAGGGAUAACAGACGGAAACGACUGAUAAGACCUGGUAAAGUCAGGCGGACUCAUGUCGAGCCUGAUGAAAAGAGAUGCUGCAGGAGAGCCUUGCGUCCUAUUAGCUUGUUGGUGGGGUAACGGCCCACCAAGGCGAUGAUAGGUAGCCGGCCUGAGAGGGUGGACGGCCACAAGGGGACUGAGAUACCGCCCUUACUCCCACGGGAGGCAGCAGUGGGGAAUAUUGGACAAUGGGGGCAACCCUGAUCCAGCAAUUCUGUGUGCACGAUGAACGUUUUCGGAUUGUAAAGUGCUUUCAGCAGGGAAGAAAAAAAUGACGGUACCUGCAGAAGAAGCGACGGCUAAAUACGUG
rnacentral:rRNA from 1 species